GGAUUGAGUCUUAGUGGACCUAGCAAACCUUAGGCCAGUUGGACUAUAGAAAAUAGGCUUGUGAGAGACGAGGUCUAUUUGAUUUGUAAGCGAAAGUAUCAUGAUUGCGUUUUGUGAUAACUCUAAAAAUGUUGGAGUUGAUCGAAGUGUAUAGUUUUUAACUUCGCGGAGGGUUAUGUUGGCGGCCGACAACGUAACAUCGGGAGUUAGUAGUAAAGAACGCUUCCUUACUUUCGCAUGAUUUGGGUACUUAUUUGUUGUGUGGGGUUGCGAUAGCGUGGGUUUUACUAACUUACGCUUUUAUGAUAUUAUAGUGAUAAUGCCGAUU
rnacentral:lncRNA from 1 species